GCGCGGAGUGACAGCUCUGCGCGGCUGCGGGUGUUUGUGUGCUCAGUGAUGUGUGUCGUGUUCAUGGGUUAUUUAAAGAAGAAUUCCCCUUCCUGGAUUUCCUGACGUCCCUAUCUGCGUGCACCAAGGUCGGACCGCGCUGUGACGAGGUGGGCAGAUGGAACAGUGAACGUUCGUGAGGAGUGGCAGUUGAACGAGCACAGCAUUGAUUAUCGAGCGAGAUGGCCGAUCGGGAGACAGAGGCGAGGCGGAGGUUCUCAUCCGUGCAGCGCUGCGCCUACACACGCUAUUGCACGAGCGUUUCCUGCCCGCCGGCCCACCAGACAGAGCCGCAUCAUGCCUGCUCACAAGCAUCACAAUCACCUGACAUCUCCGUCCCGUCGUGGCCUGAUAAUCCGCGGCCGCAGUAAACGUCAUGCUCGAGGGACGCUGAAUGACGACAAAAUGCGACUCAAGAUACAAGAAGAAAGAAAACCGUGGGACGCAAGGCAAAUAAGACCAACAAAAGGUGAGGGGCACUUCGCAAGUUCGAGUUUGUAUUGUAUCUCUGUGUUCUUCAUGCCCUCCCUCUGACAGUGAGCUGCAGGAUUUUGCGCCGUACAUGUACUCUAUUAAAAGAUCCCACGGAGUCAUUAUUUUCUGUAUAAAGUUUGAUGCUCGUAAAUUUGGCGAGAAAUUGAAAAAAAGAAAAAAAAGAAUGUGAAAUCUGUGUGUGUGUGUGUGUGUGUGUGUGUGUGUGUGUGUGUGUGUGUGUGUGUGUGUGUGUGUUCCUCUCGCCUGACUAGUUUCAUUUUUUCCCUUUUUCUUUUACCCUCCAGUACUGUAAAAUUUUUCGUAUACUGUUCUCGUGCCGCGUUGUAGUGUAGCGUGUUGCUUAAUGUUGCAGUGAGGCAAGAGAGGUGCAAGGCUCAUGCCCUGAAGUACUACUACGUGGGGGUGAAGCAGUGCCAUUGUCAGGUCUUGUUUUCAGCGCGAUAAUAAAGGGGAGAAGUGGUACUGCAGACAGUAAACACUGGCGCUACAAAAG